rnacentral:lncRNA from 1 species
UUUCCAGCAUCAAUAUGACAACAUGAUUUUGUCUUUAUAUCAGUAAGCAGCUUCUACUAUGUUUUCCUAUUUUCUGCUAGCUACAGUUUACAAAGGAUGUCACAGCACUGGCAUAUUCUCAAGAUGCCUACCUGAAAGGCAACGAAGCUUAUAGCGGCAAUGCCCGCAAUAUACCUGAACCUCCACCAAUCUGCUAUCCCUGGCUGCCAUCUGCCCCAUCAGCCAUGGCACAGCCAGUUGAAAUAUCUCCUCCUGACUCAUCAUUGAGCAAACAGCAAACCAGUACACCAGUACUGACACAACCUGGUAGGGCCUAUAGAAUGGAAAUACAAGUGCCUCCAUCACCAACAGAUGUUGCAAAAUCAAACACAGCAGUGUGUGUUUGCAAUGAAAGUGUAAGGACUGUCAUUGUGCCUUCUGAGAAGGUUGUAGAUUUGUUAUCCAAUAGAAACAACCAUACAGGUCCUUCACAUAGAACUGAAGAAGUGAGGUAUGGCGUGAGUGAGCAGACCUCUUUAAAAACAGUGUCAAGAACCACAUCACCACCAUUAUCAAUUCCCACCACUCAUCUAAUUCAUCAGCCUGCAGGCUCCAGAUCACU